UACGUAGGGGGCAAGCGUUGUCCGGAAUCAUUGGGCGUAAAGAGCGCGUAGGCGGCCCGGUAAGUCCGCUGUAAAAGUCCAGGGCUCAACCCUGGAAAGCCGGUGGAUACUGUCGGGCUAGAGUCCGGAAGAGGCGAGUGGAAUUCCUGGUGUAGCGGUGAAAUGCGCAGAUAUCAGGAGGAACACCGGUGGCGAAGGCGGGACUCUGGGCCGAUACUGACGCUGAGGAGCGAAAGCGUGGGGAGCAAACAGG
rnacentral:rRNA from 1 species